rnacentral:rRNA from 1 species
UGGGUGAUCUGCCCUGUACUUUGGGAUAAGCCUGGGAAACUGGGUCUAAUACCGAAUAUGACCACUUCUUGGAUGGGGUGGUGGAAAGCUUUUGCGGUAUGGGAUGAGCUCGCGGCCUAUCAGCUUGUUGGUGGGGUAAUGGCCUACCAAGGCGUCGACGGGUAGCCGGCCUGAGAGGGUGUACGGCCACAUUGGGACUGAGAUACGGCCCAGACUCCUACGGGAGGCAGCAGUGGGGAAUAUUGCACAAUGGGCGCAAGCCUGAUGCAGCGACGCCGCGUGGGGGAUGACGGCCUUCGGGUUGUAAACUCCUUUCGCAACCGACGAAGCUUUUGUGACGGUAGGUUGAGAAGAAGCACCGGCUAACUACGUGCCAGCAGCCGCGGUAAUACGUAGGGUGCGAGCGUUGUCCGGAAUUACUGGGCGUAAAGAGCUCGUAGGUGGUUUGUCGCGUCGUUUGUGGAAUACCGCAGCUUAACUGCGGGGUUGCAGGCGAUACGGGCAUAACUUGAGUGCUGUAGGGGAGACUGGAAUUCCUGGUGUAGCGGUGGAAUGCGCAGAUAUCAGGAGGAAC